GGUAAAAUGGCCUCAGGCCCCAGGGAUAGAGGGGCCAAGGCUGAGAAGGAGCUUUCCCAUGUCCUGCUCAGCCGAACUGCAGCAUGUGAGUUUGCACAGAGGCUGGAAUAAGAAUUGCUUUGCUGAGAAGUCUGCCCUUGAACUUGAGGGCAGGCGGGAGCUCCAGAAGCAGGGAGCCAUAGAGCGUGUGUGUGGACGGAAGAGACUCCUAUGUAUGAGUUACAGCCAUUCCUGGCCACCCUGUUUCUGUGGAGUGUUCAUGAAGCCCUGAGCAUGGAAUCUCCAGGAUUCUAGAAUCUAGCUAAGUCUCAAAGCAAGCACAGGAGAAACCUUAUGUCUGCGAGGGAGCUGCAGGUCCAGAUGAAAGUAAACAGGUGAAGUAAGAAGAAGAAACAAGGAAAAUGGAACGACAUGUUCUGAUAAGAAGCCAAAGACAACCACAGAGGGAGACAGAGAUGGAGCUGUGGGGUGAGCCAAAGCUUAAGAGAAAGUUGCAACGCUUUGCCGGAAGACCGAAAGGGAAAUGCUAGAAGUUCAACAAUGGACUCUGAAGGCACAGACAGCCUUGGCCAAGCCACAG